GAUGAAGAACGCAGCGAAAUGCGAUAAGUAAUGUGAAUUGCAGAAUUCAGUGAAUCAUCGAAUCUUUGAACGCACAUUGCGCCCGCCAGUAUUCUGGCGGGCAUGCCUGUUCGAGCGUCAUUUCAACCAUCAAGCCCCCCCGGCUUGUGUUGGGGACCUGCGGCUGCCGCAGGCCCUGAAAAGCAGUGGCGGGCUCGCUGUCACACCGAGCGUAGUAGAUCUCAUCUCGCUCAGGGCGUGCUGCGGGUUCCGGCCGUUAAACCACCUUCAUAACCCAAGGUUGACCUCGGAUCAGGCAGGAAGACCCGCUGAACUUAAGCAUAUCAAUAAGCGGAGGA
rnacentral:misc_RNA from 1 species